rnacentral:rRNA from 1 species
AGCUAACGCUGGCGGCAGGCCUAACACAUGCAAGUCGAACGAACCUUUCGGGGUUAGUGGCGGACGGGUGAGUAACACGUGGGAACGUGCCUUUAGGUUCGGAAUAACUCAGGGAAACUUGUGCUAAUACCGAAUGUGCCCUUCGGGGGAAAGAUUAAUCGCCUUUAGAGCGGCCCGCGUCUGAUUAGCUAGUUGGUUGAGGUAAUGGCUCACCAAGGCGACGAUCAGUAGCUGGUCUGAGAGGAUGAUCAGCCACAUUGGGACUGAGACACGGCCCAAACUCCUACGGGAGGCAGCAGUGGGGAAUCUUGCGCAAUGGGCGAAAGCCUGACGCAGCCAUGCCGCGUGAAUGAUGAAGGUCUUAGGAUUGUAAAAUUCUUUCACCGGGGACGAUAAUGACGGUACCCGGAGAAGAAGCCCCGGCUAACUUCGU